GGGUGUAUAGCUCAGUGAUAGAGCGUGAGCUUGGCAUGCACGAGGUCCUGGGAUCCAUCCCCGGCACCUCCA
rnacentral:tRNA from 1 species